UACAGAGGUCUCAAGCGUUGUUCGGAUUCAUUGGGCGUAAAGGGCGCGUAGGCUGCGGGGCAAGUCGGGUGUGAAAUCUCAGAGCUCAACUCUGAAACUGCACUCGAUACUGCUUUGCUUGAGGACUGGAGAGGAGAUUGGAAUUCACGGUGUAGCAGUGAAAUGCGUAGAUAUCGGGAGGAACACCGGUGGCGAAGGCGGCGACCUGGGUAGAUACUGACGCUGAGGUGCGAAAGCGUGGGGAGCAAACAGG
rnacentral:rRNA from 1 species